CUGGGAGGACUCCUCGGACCAGCUGGUAAUGACUAAGUUUCCUCUCCCCCCCAGUAAUUGCCUACUUCUUUCUAUUUGACAUAAUUCAUCAGCCAGAUUACAGCAGGUCAUUCAGCAGCAUAUGAAGAAAGCAAGGAUAACAUAACCUGACACAUCAAAAUGUUCUUCUGUGAGCAGCCUGAAGAGCUGCUGCUUUACAAAAAGCUGUGAGCUGGCAAAAUAACCAUAGAGCAUACAGGAGAUGGACCCAGCCCAGCUGCGACUGAUUUCUGAUCUCCCAGCCAGCUGCCUUUCAUGUGGAGUUCUCUGUGUGGUGAAGAUAUGAAGACAUUAUAACUGGACAGUUCUGGGAACUUUCUCAUCCCAGUGCACUGUGCAUAGAAACUGGCCCUGGCACUAUUCAUUGUCUAAGUUCCAAAAAGGCAACCACAAGGAUUCAUGAUUAAAUAUCAGCAUUCGGUUUAA